rnacentral:rRNA from 2 species
AGAGUUUGAUCCUGGCUCAGGAUAAACGCUGGCGGCGUGCCUAAUACAUGCAAGUCGAGCGAACGGACGAGAAGCUUGCUUCUCUGAUGUUAGCGGCGGACGGGUGAGUAACACGUGGAUAACCUACCUAUAAGACUGGGAUAACUUCGGGAAACCGGAGCUAAUACCGGAUAAUAUUUUGAACCGCAUGGUUCAAAAGUGAAAGACGGUCUUGCUGUCACUUAUAGAUGGAUCCGCGCUGCAUUAGCUAGUUGGUAAGGUAACGGCUUACCAAGGCAACGAUGCAUAGCCGACCUGAGAGGGUGAUCGGCCACACUGGAACUGAGACACGGUCCAGACUCCUACGGGAGGCAGCAGUAGGGAAUCUUCCGCAAUGGGCGAAAGCCUGACGGAGCAACGCCGCGUGAGUGAUGAAGGUCUUCGGAUCGUAAAACUCUGUUAUUAGGGAAGAACAUAUGUGUAAGUAACUGUGCACAUCUUGACGGUACCUAAUCAGAAAGCCACGGCUAACUACGUGCCAGCAGCCGCGGUAAUACGUAGGUGGCAAGCGUUAUCCGGAAUUAUUGGGCGUAAAGCGCGCGUAGGCGGUUUUUUAAGUCUGAUGUGAAAGCCCACGGCUCAACCGUGGAGGGUCAUUGGAAACUGGAAAACUUGAGUGCAGAAGAGGAAAGUGGAAUUCCAUGUGUAGCGGUGAAAUGCGCAGAGAUAUGGAGGAACACCAGUGGCGAAGGCGACUUUCUGGUCUGUAACUGACGCUGAUGUGCGAAAGCGUGGGGAUCAAACAGGAUUAGAUACCCUGGUAGUCCACGCCGUAAACGAUGAGUGCUAAGUGUUAGGGGGUUUCCGCCCCUUAGUGCUGCAGCUAACGCAUUAAGCACUCCGCCUGGGGAGUACGACCGCAAGGUUGAAACUCAAAGGAAUUGACGGGGACCCGCACAAGCGGUGGAGCAUGUGGUUUAAUUCGAAGCAACGCGAAGAACCUUACCAAAUCUUGACAUCCUUUGACAACUCUAGAGAUAGAGCCUUCCCCUUCGGGGGACAAAGUGACAGGUGGUGCAUGGUUGUCGUCAGCUCGUGUCGUGAGAUGUUGGGUUAAGUCCCGCAACGAGCGCAACCCUUAAGCUUAGUUGCCAUCAUUAAGUUGGGCACUCUAAGUUGACUGCCGGUGACAAACCGGAGGAAGGUGGGGAUGACGUCAAAUCAUCAUGCCCCUUAUGAUUUGGGCUACACACGUGCUACAAUGGACAAUACAAAGGGCAGCGAAACCGCGAGGUCAAGCAAAUCCCAUAAAGUUGUUCUCAGUUCGGAUUGUAGUCUGCAACUCGACUACAUGAAGCUGGAAUCGCUAGUAAUCGUAGAUCAGCAUGCUACGGUGAAUACGUUCCCGGGUCUUGUACACACCGCCCGUCACACCACGAGAGUUUGUAACACCCGAAGCCGGUGGAGUAACCUUUUAGGAGCUAGCCGUCGAAGGUGGGACAAAUGAUUGGGGUGAAGUCGUAACAAGGUAGCCGUAUCGGAAGGUGCGGCUG